rnacentral:rRNA from 2 species
GUUCUUUUCUCGCAUGAGAGAAGAUGGAAAGACGGUUUACGCUGUCACUUAUAGAUGGGCCCGCGGCGCAUUAGCUAGUUGGUGAGGUAAUGGCUCACCAAGGCGACGAUGCGUAGCCGACCUGAGAGGGUGAUCGGCCACACUGGGACUGAGACACGGCCCAGACUCCUACGGGAGGCAGCAGUAGGGAAUCUUCCGCAAUGGACGAAAGUCUGACGGAGCAACGCCGCGUGAACGAAGAAGGCCUUCGGGUCGUAAAGUUCUGUUGUUAGGGAAGAACAAGUACCAGAGUAACUGCUGGUACCUUGACGGUACCUAACCAGAAAGCCACGGCUAACUACGUGCCAGCAGCCGCGGUAAUACGUAGGUGGCAAGCGUUGUCCGGAAUUAUUGGGCGUAAAGCGCGCGCAGGUGGUUCCUUAAGUCUGAUGUGAAAGCCCACGGCUCAACCGUGGAGGGUCAUUGGAAACUGGGGAACUUGAGUGCAGAAGAGGAAAGUGAUUCCAGUGUAGCGGUGAAAUGCGUAGAGAUUUGAGACACAGUGGCGAUGCGACUUUCUGGUCUGUACUGACACU